rnacentral:lncRNA from 1 species
UUAAUUUUUACCAAGUCAAUGAAACAGCAAUUUUCAUUUAAAAGUAAAGAAAUUCAAGGCAUAAACGAUAUAUUUUCUUCUAAAAGAUUUUUAAGCUGGUGGCAUGCUUUUCAUACUUGUCAAGUUACACGAGAGCGUACAUCAAAUCAUUCUAACUUACGGCAAAAUCAGUUAUUACUUCAUCAGAACUUGAUGAAAUUAGCCUCAAGUUAACUUGUCAUCCAUGUAUUGCAUUAGAAACGUCAUAUUCCUUUCCAAAUAGCGUAUCAAACAUCGUUUAUUUUUGUAAAUUUUUCUUCGUCCGACAUUUAAAUUUGUAGAACUACGGAUUGGAAUCGGGAUUUCAUCGGAAACGGACCCGCUAUGACCGAAAUCCGGAUUCUUGCGAUAAUGACUACAGACGCAUGAAUGGCACUGCUGACAGACAAAAAUUGAUCCCAAAAGGGAAAAUUACGCAUUCCACACGCAUUAACAUACUUUUGGUUAGAUCUUCUUGAUUAAUGUAUAUAUUUCCAUGUAUAAGCAUUGUUUCAAUUUAUAGGUUAAAGUUGCUUAACUCUGGGACUAUUACACCAGAGACAUAUAUACAAAUGUGUAUAUAUAUGUCUGCAUACACUAAGAGGUUCCUGACUGGGUGACUGGUAUAUACAUAUAUAGUGUAUAUGCAGCGAGGUUGAUAUAUUUGAGUGGUGCCAUGGAUCUAUAUUAGUGGAAAUACAGAAUCAAAACAUAGUUUUUUAAGUUUAUAUUAAUAGAAGGGUAAACCAGAGACAUAUAUAAACAAUAUGUAUUUAUAUUUCUCUGGGUUAAUAUGCUGGUCUGUUCUCAUUCAUUGUUCUUGUAUUUUGAUAAAUUCUAAAAAAAAUAAAAA